rnacentral:sRNA from 1 species
AUUCUGCCCAAGCGGGGAAGGCUUCGACCAAGGUUCGACUUGAGCGCCAGCGAGAGAGCGUUGCCGCAGGCAACGACCCGAAGGGCGAAGCGCGCAGCGCUGAGUAAUCCUUCCCCCACCACCA